rnacentral:misc_RNA from 1 species
AACGCACGAGACCUGCGGACCUGCGGAGGGAUCAUUAGUGAACGCCCUCACGGGCUUAUAACUAUUCCAAACCUCUGUGAACCGUGCCCUUCGGGGCUGUUUUACAAACAUGGUGUAAUGAACGUCAUAUAUCAUAACAAAACAAAACUUUUAACAAUGGAUCUCU